CCAACUUCAGGCUGGAGCUGAUGAUGCCACACAGAUAUAAAAGAUUCAGGACGUAGUGCUCGUGGUUGGGGUCGGGGACAUGGCAAGACAGGAGCGGAAGAGAGAGACGGAGAAGACGCAGGGGAACUGCAUCUGCCUCUGCUGCUCAGGAACAGCGUUGAGACCGGCGCAGGGACCAUGGGUGGGAGAGUCCUGAUGUACUCAAUGUAUAAUAUUAGGCAGAAACCCAAUAUAAAAAGAAAAGCAGAGUUGUUGUAGAUUCAUCGAGGGUUGGCGACCUGGUUCCAAUGAGCCAUCUCCCUGUUCCGACAGGGGCUUCCUGGAGCUCCUGCAACCCCAGGCAUUAGUUCCGGUGCAGUUCUAGGAUCAGAUCAAUUCACUCGACAACAAGAGAAACAAAUGGAGAUUCCUACACAAAGACUUUCAAGCACAAAGAAAUCCUGCUGCCUGUAAAGCGGAGCUGCCUCAGCCCUUGAUGAACGACAGAAAAUCUCACAUUCCAGGAAUUCAGAUGAAGUGAAGUGCUCUCAUGGGGACCAGGCAUGGUUAUGCCAGUCCACUGCCCUGCAAGCCUCAAGGGAAGCCAACUGCCCUUCAGCAAGUCACACCUGCCUUGGUGGAGGCCUUGAUUGGAAGUGCCACACGCUACAUGUCCAGUCCUGAGCGGGAGAAUCGGUGUAGGGACGUUCUGGGGAUGCCAGCUGUGGCCAGAUCAGGUCCAACUACAGAAGAAUAAUGAAGACUCCACCUGAGGGCUGGAAAAACAAAACCUCAAGUGUGAGGCAGCCAACCUGUUACCUCGAGGGACUGUUCCGCAGCACAGCGGGGCCAUGGGAACAGCAGCAGACACCCCGACCUCCUCGCUACCUGUAUCAACUAUGGCCUGAGUAUGAUAGACUUAUCCAUGGUUUAAACAGAAUAUAUUGUUUUCAACUUUGAAAAUAAGAAUAUGGAAAUCCAGAUGCAGAAAUGUGAGAAGAAAAGAGAGUAAACAGAGUGGAAGGUCAGGUGACCUUGCCUGUCAUGAAUAUGAAGGUCAAGGUGUGUGAAUUGUGAAAUUUCCAAGAGAACCUCACUGAAGCAAAGAAUGAAGAAAGAAUUGCAUUUGGCCCUGGGAGGGUGCAGGGGUGAAUGGUGCAGGAGCUAAAUCUUUAUCAUACCCAGAAAUCAACAGCCACUAUUUGAAAUCAUCUAAAUUCGUGCUGCUAACCUUCAGUGUACACACGAAUCACCUGGGGAUCUUACUAAAAGCUAGUUUCUGAUUCACUAAAUCUGUGUGUGGUGGAAGUUGAGGGCAGAGAAGCUCCCGAGGGUGUCAAGCUGACUCUGAACCCGACUUUGAGGGUUAAGGUCCCAAAUGGCAUCGCCAGCACCAGGGACAGACACUAAAAUUGUAGAAAUCGUCUCAAGAAAUGAACAGCCUCUAAGUCAGAUGUUGAAUGUGAAAGAAAUCAGGGUGUGUACGUGUGUGUGCAUUUGUGUGUGCACGUGUGUGCCUGUGUUUGUCUCUGUGCAUGUAUGUUUCUAUGUGUGCACAUGUGUGUAUGUGUCUGUACAUGUGUGUUUCUGUGUGUGUGCCUGUGUGUGUAUUGGCUUAGAUCUGUUCGAGACUUUUUAUUUGAUGAGAUCGAUAUAUGCCACCACUUUUGGAAAGGACAACGUAUAUACAAAGACAAUGAUUACUUAUGUAAUGUGAACGGAGUCUCUCUUCGAC
rnacentral:lncRNA from 1 species